UGAUAUGUUUUCAAAGAGUCAGGUUGUUUGGGAAUGCAGCCUAAAUUGGGUGGUAAAUCUCACCUAAAGCUAAAUAUUUGCGAGAGACCGAUAGCGAACAAGUACCGUGAGGGAAAGAUGAAAAGAACUUUGAAAAGAGAGUUAAACAGUAUGUGAAAUUGUUAAAAGGGAACCGUUUGGAGCCAGACUGGUUUGACUGUAAUCAACCUAGAAUUCUCUGGGUGCACUUGCAGUCUAUACCUGCCAACAACAGUUUGAUUUGGAGGAAAAAAUUAGUAGGAAUGUAGCCUCUCGAGGUGUUAUAGCCUACUAUCAUACUCUGGAUUGGACUGAGGAACGCAGCGAAUGCCUUUAGGCAAGAUUGCUGGGUGCUUUCGCUAAUAAAUGUUAGAAUUUCUGCUUCGGGUGGUGCUAAUGUUUAAAGGAGGAACACAUCUAGUAUAUUUUUUAUUCGCUUAGGUUGUUGGCUUAAUGACUCUAAAUGACCCGUCUUGAAACACGGACCAAGGAGUCCACCAUAAGUGCAAGUAUUUGAGUGACAAACUCAUAUGCGUAAGGAAACUGAUUGAUACGAAAU
rnacentral:rRNA from 2 species